rnacentral:lncRNA from 1 species
CUGACCAACAUGGUGAAACCCCGUCUCUACUAAAAGUACAAAAAUUAGCUGGGCGUGGUGGCACACGCCUGUAGUCCCAGCCACUUGGGAGGCUGAGGCAGGAGAAUUGCUUGAACCCGGGAGGCAGAGGUUGCAGUGAGCCAAGAUCAAGCCACUGCACUCCAGCCUGGGCAACACAAUGAGACUCUGUCUCAAAAAAAAAAAAAAAAAGGGCCAGUGAUCAUGCCCUUCCUGCUGCCUCCCACAGGCCAAUGAGUGCCAGGAGCGCCCUGUUGAGUGUAAGUUCUGCAAACUGGACAUGCAGCUCAGCAAGCUGGAGCUCCACGAGUCCUACUGUGGCAGCCGGACAGAGCUCUGCCAAGGCUGUGGCCAGUUCAUCAUGCACCGCAUGCUCGCCCAGCACAGAGAUGUCUGUCGGAGUGAACAGGCCCAGCUCGGGAAAGGGGAAAGAAUUUCAGCUCCUGAAAGGGAAAUCUACUGUCAUUAUUGCAACCAAAUGAUUCCAGAAAAUAAGUAUUUCCACCAUAUGGGUAAAUGUUGUCCAGACUCAGAGUUUAAGAAACACUUUCCUGUUGGAAAGCCAAAAAUUCUUCCUUCAUCUCUUCCAAGUCAAGUUGCUGAAAAUCAAACUUCCACGAUGGAGAAAGAUGUUCGUCCAAAGACAAGAAGUAUAAAUAGAUUUCCUCUUCAUUCUGAAAGUUCAUCAAAGAAAGCACCAAGAAGCAAAAACAAAACCUUGGAUCCACUUUUGAUGUCAGAGCCCAAGCCCAGGACCAGCUCCCCUAGAGGAGAUAAAGCAGCCUAUGACAUUCUGAGGAGAUGUUCUCAGUGUGGCAUCCUGCUUCCCCUGCCGAUCCUAAAUCAACAUCAGGAGAAAUGCUGGUGGUUAGCUUCAUCAAAAGGAAAACAAGUGAGAAAUUUCAGCUAGAUUUGGAAAAGGAAAGGUGCUACAAAUUCAAAAGAUUUCACUUUUAACACUGGCUUUCCUGCCUACUUGCUGUGGUGGUUUUGUGAAAAGUGAUGGGUUUUAUUCGUUGGGCUUUAAAAGAAAAGGUUUGGCAGAACUAAAAACAAAACUCACGUAUCAUCUCAAUAGAUACAGAAAAGGCUUUUGAUAAAAUUCAACUUGACUUCAUGUUAAAAACCCUCGACAAACCAGGCAUUGAAGGAACAUACCUCAAAAUAAUAAGAGCCAUCUAUGACAAAACCACAGCCAACAUCAUACUGAAUGAGCAAAAGCUGGAGCAUUACCCUUGAGAAGUAGAACAAGGCACUUCAGUCCUAUUCAACAUAGUACUGGAAGUCCUCACCACAGCAAUCAGGCAAGAGAAAGAAAUAAAAGGCAACCAAAAAGAGAGGAAGUCGAAGUAUCUCUGUUUGCCGACGAUAUGAUUCUAUAUCUAGAAAACCCCAUGAUCUUGGCCCAAAAGCUCCUAGAUCUGAUAAACAACUUCAGCUAACUUUCAGGAGACAAAAUCAAUAUACAAAAUACAGUAGCAUUUUUAUACACCAACGACAUCCAAGCUGAGAGCCAAAUCAAGAAUGCAAUCCUAUUCACAAUUGCCACAAAAAGAAUAAAAUACCUAGGAAUACAGCUAACCAGGGAGAUGAAAGAUCUCUACAACAAAAAUUACAAAACACUGCUGAAAGAAAUCAGAGAUGACACAAAUGGAAAAACAUUCCAUGCUUAUGGAUAGGAAGAAUCAAUAUUGUUAAAAUGGCCAUACUACCCAAAGCAAUUUAUAGAUUCAAUGCUAUUCCUAUCAAACUACCAAUAACAUUCUUCACAGAAUCAGAAAAAAAAGCAUUAAAAUUUAUUUGAAACCAAAAAAGAGCCCCAAAAGCCAAAGCAAUCCUAAGCAAAAAGAACAAAGCUGGAGGCAUCGCAUUACCCAACUUCAAACUAUACUACAGGGCUACAGUAACCAAAACUGCAUGAUACUGGUACAAAAGCAUGGUACUGGUACAAAAGCAGACACAUAGAUCAAUGGAACAGAAUAGAGAGCCCAGAAAUAAAGCUACACACCUACAACCAUCUAAUCUUUGACAAAGUUGACAAAAAUACGCAAUGGGGAAAGAAUUCCCCAUUCAGUAAGUGGUACUGGGAUAACUAGCUAGCCAUAUGCAGAAGAUUGAAACUGAACCACUUCCUUACACCAUAUGCAAAAAUCAACUCAAGAUGGAUUAAAGACUUAAAUGUAAAACCCCAAACUAUAAAAACUCUGGAAGAUAACCUAGGCAAUACCAUUCUGGACAUAGGAACGGAAAAAGAUUUCAUGACAAAGAUCCCAAAAAUAAUUGUAACGAAAGCAAAAAUUGACAAAUGGGACAUGAUUAAACAGAACUACCAUUUGACUCAGCAAUCCCAUUAUUGGUUAUAUACCCAAAGGAAUCUAAAUCAUUCUGUCAUAAAGAAAUAUAUACACAAAUGUUCACGGCAGCACUAUACACAAUCGCAAAGUCAGGGAAUCAAACUAAAUGUCCAUCAGUGGUAGAAAGGAUAAAGAAAAUGUGGUGGCAGGGAGUGGUGGCUCAUGUCUGUAAUCCCAGCACUUUGGGAGGCUGAGGCGGGUGGUUCACCUGAGGUCAGGAGUUUGAGACCAGCCUGGCCAACAUGGCGAAACUCCGUCUCCACUAAAAAUACGAAAAUUAGCCAGGCGUGGUGGCAAGCGCCUGUCAUCCCAGCUACUUGGGAGGCCUAGGCGUAAGAAUCGCUUGAACCUGGAAGGUGGUGGUUGCAGUGAGCCGAGAUCCUGCCACUGCACUCCAGCCUGGGCAACCAAGCGAGACUCUGCCUUAAAAAAAAAAAAAAGAAAAUGUGGCACAUAUACACCAUGGAAUACUAUGCAUCCAUAAAAAAGAAUGGGAUCAUGUCCUGUGCAGCAACAUGGAUGGAGCUGGAAGCCAUUAUCCUAAAUGAACUCACUCAGAAACAGAAAACCAAAUACCACAUGUUCUCACUUAUAAGUAGAAGCUAAACAUUGAGUACACAUGGAUACAAAGAAGGGAACCGCAGACACUGGGGCCUACCUGAGGUUGGAGCAUGGAAGGAGGGUGAGGAUCAAAAAACUACCUAUCUGGUACUAUGCUUUUUAUCUGGAUGAUGAAAUAAUCUGUACAACAAACCCUGGUGACAUGCAAUUUACCUAUAUAGCAAGCCUACACACGUGCCCCUGAACCUAAAAAAAAAGUUAAAAGAAAAACGUUUGGAUUAUUUUCCCUCUUUCGAACAAAGACAUUGGUUUGCCCAAGGACUACAAAUAAACCAACGGGAAAAAAGAAAGGUUCCAGUUUUGUCUGAAAAUUCUGAUUAAGCCUCUGGGCCCUACAGCCUGGAGAACCUGGAGAAUCCUACACCCACAGAACCCGGCUUUGUCCCCAAAGAAUAAAAAC